GAUGGUAUGGCGUACCCAUUGGAUGGUUCGUUGCACCAACACUUUAGAUCGAUGAAGCCUAGUCAUUAUAAGGUCCAAGUUGAUUGUAUUCACGACGGACAUGAUGAUGACACUCUUCCGGUACCUACUGGAGAUGGAUUCAAUAACUUAGGCAGGGCUCUUGCUAGUUUUGUGCAAUGGCCAAUUCACUUGGUGAUUUUCGAAGAAGACGAGGAGUACUCUACUCCACGCCCAACAAAGAAGUCCAGGAGUCAGAUUUUUGAAGAGGUGGUUGGUAGCUCCAAAGAGAAGAAAAACGAAUUAAUUGUCAAAGAGAAGACAACAGAAUUAGUUGUCAAAGAUAAGACAACAGAAUUAAUUGUCAAAGAGAAGGAAACACUUGAUUUAGGGUCCAAAGAGAAGACAACACUGAAGUUAACGGCCAAGGAAAAUUCAUGCUCAAAUAAGUUGGAGUCGAAAUCGAAGUCGAAGAACUCUAAGAAAUCCAAAGAGAUGGUAGGUAGUUGUGAUCGUAAAACUGAAGAAUCAGCCGCCAAAAGUAAGAAGCAAAAUUUGGCAGACGACACAAUUCAAGGUCUUGGCCCAUCAUGAAAUUAUUUGAAGUUUAUCAUCAAUACGGCGCCCGGUGAUGUAUAUAAAAAUACUUCAAUCCCAUUGCCCGCUUCGGUUUGGCAUUAUGACGAAGAUCGACAAACUUAUGUAAAUGAGGUUGACGUUGAAGAGUUCCUUAGAGGGGCGUGCCUCAACAUUUCAGUGAUCCAAGUCUAUAUGAUGUGUUUAUUCCACGAACACACCUUUGCAUUUGACAACUCUCAGAUUGGGUUUGUUUGUCCCGAGGCAAUGUCAAGCUCUAGAAUCAAGGCCAACCCUCAGGCUGCAUCAAUGUAUUUGAAAGUAGUUUUCAAUGCUGAAAUUGAAAAGGAGAAGAAGGGUGAUCCUAACAUUACCAAGUGGUUUUUGAUCCCAUACCAUCAAGAAAAUCAUUGGAUUUUGUACGUGUUAGACCUACGUAGAGGUUGUGCGUAUAUUUUCGACUCUGCGAUAGGUUCCAACCGAGAAAAUAGUGCAUGAGGAA